rnacentral:rRNA from 1 species
UGGGGAAUAUUGCACAAUGGGCGAAAGCCUGAUGCAGCAACGCCGCGUGAGUGAUGAAGGUCUUCGGAUUGUAAAGCUCUGUCUUUUGGGACGAUAAUGACGGUACCAAAGGAGGAAGCCACGGCUAACUACGUGCCAGCAGCCGCGGUAAUACGUAGGUGGCGAGCGUUGUCCGGAUUUACUGGGCGUAAAGGGUGCGUAGGCGGAUGUUUAAGUGAGAUGUGAAAUACCCGGGCUUAACUUGGGUGCUGCAUUUCAAACUGGAUAUCUAGAGUGCAGGAGAGGAGAAUGGAAUUCCUAGUGUAGCGGUGAAAUGCGUAGAGAUUAGGAAGAACACCAGUGGCGAAGGCGAUUCUCUGGACUGUAACUGACGCUGAGGCACGAAAGCGUGGGUAGCAAACAGGAUUAGAUACCCUGGUAGUCCACGCCGUAAACGAUGAGUACUAGGUGUAGGAGGUAUCGACCCCUUCUGUGCCGCAGUAAACACAUUAAGUACUCCGCCUGGGAAGUACGAUCGCAAGAUUAAAACUCAAAGUGAAUUGA